rnacentral:rRNA from 1 species
ACGUACACUCCUACGGGAGGCAGCAGUGGGGAAUAUUGGACAAUGGGCGCAAGCCUGAUCCAGCCAUGCCGCGUGAGUGAUGAAGGCCCUAGGGUUGUAAAGCUCUUUCACCGGUGAAGAUAAUGACAGUAACCGGAGAAGAAGCCCCGGCUAACUUCGUGCCAGCAGCCGCGGUAAUACGAAGGGGGCUAGCGUUGUUCGGAUUUACUGGGCGUAAAGCGCACGUAGGCGGACUAUUAAGUCAGGGGUGAAAUCCCGGGGCUCAACCCCGGAACUGCCUUUGAUACUGGUAGUCUUGAGUUCGAGAGAGGUGAGUGGAAUUCCGAGUGUAGAGGUGAAAUUCGUAGAUAUUCGGAGGAACACCAGUGGCGAAGGCGGCUCACUGGCUCGAUACUGACGCUGAGGUGCGAAAGCGUGGGGAGCAAACAGGAUUAGAAACCCGGGUAGUCCCAUGA